rnacentral:rRNA from 1 species
GAUGAACGCUGGCGGCGUGCCUAAUACAUGCAAGUCGAGCGAACAGACGAGGAGCUUGCUCCUUCGACGUUAGCGGCGGACGGGUGAGUAGCACGUAGGUAACCUACCUAUAAGACUGGGAUAACUUCGGGAAACCGGAGCUAAUACCGGAUAAUAUUUCGAACCGCAUGGUUCGAUAGUGAAAGAUGGCUUUGCUAUCACUUAUAGAUGGACCUGCGCCGUAUUAGCUAGUUGGUAAGGUAACGGCUUACCAAGGCAACGAUACGUAGCCGACCUGAGAGGGUGAUCGGCCACACUGGAACUGAGACACGGUCCAGACUCCUACGGGAGGCAGCAGUAGGGAAUCUUCCGCAAUGGGCGAAAGCCUGACGGAGCAACGCCGCGUGAGUGAUGAAGGUCUUCGGAUCGUAAAACUCUGUUAUUAGGGAAGAACAAACGUGUAAGUAACUGUGCACGUCUUGACGGUACCUAAUCAGAAAGCCACGGCUAACUACGUG